rnacentral:lncRNA from 1 species
GCCUCCCUAGACAUGGCCUGCUCCACACCCACCUCCAUCAAACGGGCCAGGGGGCUGGCCGGGAGAACGGGGUUAGCGGUGCCCCCGCCCGCGGCCCCCUAACGCCAGCCUGCGCUCUGAGAGCCUGGACUCCUCCUCCAGCCGCACCAACGGACACCCCCACCCAGCUGCGGGCGCCGGGCGCUUCUACCCCAGCCCCGCAUCCCCGUCCCCCCCUUCAGCGCCGCCCUCUCACCCAUCCCCCGCCCCUCGGAGUCUAGAGGCCCGGCCCUCAGGACACUGGAGGAAGACACCCACGCUGACCUGACCCUGGUGGGCGAGGGAGACAUCACCAGCCCCAACAGCACCUUGUUGGCCCCUGCGCUGCUGUCCCACGAGGGCAACUUCCUCCCUCCUUCGCCAUGCGCCAACUCCUUCCAUGAUGGUGGUGGGAAUGGCCAGUCAAGCUCAGAGAGAAGACAAAGAGCAUGUGCUCUUGACCACUCCCACAAGAGGUCGCCGUGUCUUGGAGCACUCCACUCUCAGCCAGCACUGCAGGAGGUGAUGGACGUGGAGGGAGUGUGCCUGGAGGAAGAGGAGGAGGAGAAGGUGAGGGAGGUCACCAUCACCCAUGGAGAGGACUCGGAGCUCAGCGUCAGUUUCCAAGGGUACGCGGCUGAGCUCCGGCAGUGCCAGAGUCGAAUGAAGACCUCCCAGGUGCCCCUCAACACCCACGAUCAAUCAGAAGGGAACGAAGACUCCAAGACUGACAUAUACAAGGCCACCAUUGUGUGAGCUCUGAGGCUGACCAACCCUCACCAGCACUUUCCAAGCUUGAUUCACGGUCUGUUCAAACAGAAACUUACUUGAUGAACAAGGGACUUUUACUGUAAAAAACUGUCGUUUUUCAUGCCAGAACUGAUGUAUAUGUAUAAUAAUUGUAUGGUGAUAGAUAUUGUAUUAUUGAUCAUCACUGACUAUGCCGUACUGUUUAGUGGGUAUAUUCAUUUUCAAUAAGUGAUGAAAAGGAAAAUAAUUGCCAGUUAAAAUGUAUGAACAAUUUGGUUAUAACCUAUUGUUUGGAAAUGUAUUAGGAGAUACCUUGUUUUAGAUGGAUGCUGAUAAUACAGGUACUGUAAAACAGGGGCUAUAGAAUUAAGCCUUUUUCAGGUAGGUUAUAGGAUUCACACAUUGUAGGAACAUGAGAAACUCCUUGCAAUUCUAGUGCACGUUACUGUAUUAUUCUGGUCACACACUGAGUGUAAAAAACAUCAUGAACACCUGCUCUUUCCAUAAUAAUAGACUGACCAGAUGAAUCCAGGUGGAAAGCUAUGAUCUCUUAUUGAGGUCACUUGUUCAAUACAUUUCAAUCAGUGCAGAUGAAGUGGAUGAUGCAGGUUAAAUAAUGAUUUUUAAGCCUUGAGACAAUUGAGACAUGGAUUGUGUAUGUGUACCAUUCAGAGGGUGGAUGGGUAAGACAAAAUAUUUAAGUGCCUUUGAACAGGGUAUGGUAGUAGGUGCCAGGUGCCAGGUUUGUGUCAAGAACUGCAGGUGUUCUUAAUAUUUUGCACACUCAGUGUACACUGUUUCGUGGUGAACAAAAUAUGAUGCCUCUUCAUGUCUGUACAUUUGAUCUAUUAUGGUCUGGCUUGAUGUUUGGUUGUUCAAAUUCCACUCAAUAAACAUUCCCACCUUUGUAAUGCCAGA